rnacentral:rRNA from 1 species
UACGAAGGGGGCAAGCGUUGCUCGGAAUCACUGGGCGUAAAGGGCGCGUAGGCGGGCGUCUAAGUCAGGGGUGAAAUCCCGAGGCUCAACCUCGGAAUUGCCUUUGAUACUGGAUGUCUCGAGACCGGAAGAGGUGAGUGGAACUGCGAGUGUAGAGGUGAAAUUCGUAGAUAUUCGCAAGAACACCGGUGGCGAAGGCGGCUCACUGGUCCGGUUCUGACGCUGAGGCGCGAAAGCGUGGGGAGCAAACAGG